rnacentral:rRNA from 1 species
UUAUCCGGAAUUAUUGGGCGUAAAGCGUGCGUAGGCGGCCACUUAAGUCUGUCGUGAAAGCCACAGCUUAACUGUGGAGGGUCGAUGGAAACUGAGAGGCUUGAAUCUAGGAGAGGUAAGUGGAAUUCCAUGUGUAGCGGUAAAAUGCUUAGAUAUAUGGAGGAACACCAGUGGCGAAGGCGGCUUACUGGUCUAGAAUUGACGCUGAUGCACGAAAGCGUGGGUAGCAAACAGGAUUAGAUACCCUGGUAGUCCACGCCGUAAACGAUGAGCACUAAGUGUCGGACGUAAGUUCGGUGCUGAAGUUAACGCAUUAAGUGCUCCGCCUGGGGAGUACGGUCGCAAGACUGAAACUCAAAGGAAUUGACGGGGACUCGCACAAGCGGUGGAGCAUGUGGUUUAAUUC